UGAGACACAGGGACCUUCACAGGCCAAGCCUGUGUUUGUCCCGAGCCUCUCCACCUUGUCUUUUUGGAACUUUCUACUAAACAGGGCAGAGUUCAUGGGUAGGAGGCACCGGGUUACUUGACUUGAGGCAGGAUGAUAAGGAAAUACCAGGCAGGCGGAGAAGAUCAUGCUUUGCAGAGAUAGGGAGGCUGUUCCUGGUGUUGCUUUGCAGAGCCCCAGACUGAGGGACACCAGGUGUCAAUGGAGGCCAAAAGAGAACAUUGGAUCCCUUGGAGCUGGAAUUACAGGUGGCUGUGAACUUUGAACUCGACUGGGGUCCUUUGGAAGAACAGUGCAUGCUCCCAACUACUGAACCAUCUUUUUAGCGCUGAGACCAGGACUUUCUUGAAAGCAACUUCUGCUGGGCAUCAGGCCUCUCUGUCAGUCGAGUGCUGCACCUGUGUGCUUGCCUAUCACCGCCCGUGUCAUUAGGGAGACUGCUUAGCUCAGCUGCAGAAGAAUCCUAGUCCUUAGCACCUUUGGUGUGAAGUCCUGCUGGGCCAAGUGGGUUUCCAAGGAGCUGUUUCUAGCCAAGUCUCCAUAUGCCUGGUGGGUAGGUGUAGAAACCCGAGGAAGGCUUGGCAGGGGAUCUGCAGUGGGAACUGUUACAACCCAAACAAUCACCGUGUACACAGUGCUUCACAUUGUCUCUUGCAUUUACCUGGAAACAGUCACUGGAAACUACAAGACUGUGCAACCCCUAGAAAUGGCUAUGCUACCGAAAAUGCCCGGGACUUGCUGGACAGCUUGCUAUAGUGUCUUCUAGGCAUCUGAAAAGCCACUGAGUAUUUAAAGUGUCACCUCAAGGGAAACAUACCCAGCCAGUCUUUCCACUAGUGAACUGAAACAAAGAUUUUUGGUCAUCUGACUGACCUCCUAGUGCCUUGUUCUGAACUCCACAACUCGGUUUCUUUCUAACGAGUUUUCAGUUCAAGGUCAGAUGCAGUUUGGAAGGAAGCAUUCCUCACAAGCCAGGUGUAAGGACACGUGCUUUGUGAGAGCCUCAGCCUUUGGACUCCAUUCUGGACUUUGACCGCUGUGUGGAGUGCUAGAGAAAUGUGGCCAGGCUGACUCACUACACAGGCUCCCAGACAGUGAGUGGGCAGAACUCGCCUGGAUAGAACCUGGCAAGCUUGGACUUGACCACUGACUGACUCUGCAGUAGCAGAGAAGGCAGCGACAGUAACCACAGGAGCCCCCACCCUAGAUCUUCAGGGGCAGCAUCUCUCUACUUUCUUCUGCUGUGGGUCACCUCUGAUGCCUGCCAAGCUUUCUCACUAUCCUCAAGAGCCCAGACUGUUGGGCCUCAUCCACAGUAGAUGCUGGAAUCAUUGAUGCCCAGGGUGGCUGUGUCAGUUUUUCCCUGGUUCUGUAAUGUCUAUCCCUGGUCACUCUGGGCAGCCAGGUGGGCAAUGAGUGGCCAAGUGUAGGAGAGAGGACACAGGAGGCCAAAAAAGAAAUGGGUGCAUGAACCUGGGUCUGAGGGCUUAGCUGAUGAACACUGAACUUCUGGGAUUUAAGCAUUCCAGACUGUGUUGCUACAGGAUCUUUAGCUCCUUUGAGAAAAUAAAAACAUUCCUACUGUGGACUUCUUAGAACCCAGAUACUGUCAUUUGUGUGUUUCUUCCUAAGGCCAGGUAGAGAGGGCCAGAGAGAAGGCUCAGUGUCAAGAGCAUUGGCUGUUCUUGCAGAGGACCCAGUUCAGUUGCUAGCACCCACAUGCUGGCCUGCAACAUUUAUAUAGUUCCAGGGGAUCUGACACACUCUCUGGCUUCUGUGAA
rnacentral:lncRNA from 1 species